CACCGAAGCUGCGGCAGCGACACUGUGUGUUGUUGGGUAGGGGAGCGUUCUGUAAGCCUGUGAAGGUGGCCUGUGAGGGUUGCUGGAGGUAUCAGAAGUGCGAAUGCUGACAUAAGUAACGAUAAAGCGGGUGAAAAGCCCGCUCGCCGGAAGACCAAGGGUUCCUGUCCAACGUUAAUCGGGGCAGGGUGAGUCGACCCCUAAGGCGAGGCCGAAAGGCGUAGUCGAUGGGAAACGGGUUAAUAUUCCCGUACUUGGUGUUACUGCGAAGGGGGGACGGAGAAGGCUAUGUUGGCCGGGCGACGGUUGUCCCGGUUUAAGCGUGUAGGUGUGUGUUCCAGGUAAAUCCGGUUCACUUUAACACUGAGGCGUGACGACGAGGCACUACGGUGCUGAAGCAACAAAUGCCCUGCUUCCAGGAAAAGCCUCUAAGCAUCAGGUAACAUCAAAUCGUACCCCAAACCGACACAGGUGGUCAGGUAGAGAAUACCAAGGCGCUUGAGAGAACUCGGGUGAAGGAACUAGGCAAAAUGGUGCCGUAACUUCGGGAGAAGGCACGCUGACACGUAGGUGAAGUGAUUUACUCAUGGAGCUGAAGUCAGUCGAAGAUACCAGCUGGCUGCAACUGUUUAUUAAAAACACAGCACUGUGCAAACACGAAAGUGGACGUAUACGGUGUGACGCCUGCCCGGUGCCGGAAGGUUAAUUGAUGGGGUCAGCGCAAGCGAAGCUCCUGAUCGAAGCCCCGGUAAACGGCGGCCGUAACUAUAACGGUCCUAAGGUAGCGAAAUUCCUUGUCGGGUAAGUUCCGACCUGCACGAAUGGCGUAAUGAUGGCCAGGCUGUCUCCACCCGAGACUCAGUGAAAUUGAACUCGCUGUGAAGAUGCAGUGUACCCGCGGCAAGACGGAAAGACCCCGUGAACCUUUACUAUAGCUUGACACUGAACAUUGAGCCUUGAUGUGUAGGAUAGGUGGGAGGCUUUGAAGUGUGGACGCCAGUCUGCAUGGAGCCGACCUUGAAAUACCACCCUUUAAUGUUUGAUGUUCUAACGUGGACCCGUAAUCCGGGUUGCGGACAGUGUCUGGUGGGUAGUUUGACUGGGGCGGUCUCCUCCUAAAGAGUAACGGAGGAGCACGAAGGUUGGCUAAUCCUGGUCGGACAUCAGGAGGUUAGUGCAAUGGCAUAAGCCAGCUUGACUGCGAGCGUGACGGCGCGAGCAGGUGCGAAAGCAGGUCAUAGUGAUCCGGUGGUUCUGAAUGGAAGGGCCAUCGCUCAACGGAUAAAAGGUACUCCGGGGAUAACAGGCUGAUACCGCCCAAGAGUUCAUAUCGACGGCGGUGUUUGGCACCUCGAUGUCGGCUCAUCACAUCCUGGGGCUGAAGUAGGUCCCAAGGGUAUGGCUGUUCGCCAUUUAAAGUGGUACGCGAGCUGGGUUUAGAACGUCGUGAGACAGUUCGGUCCCUAUCUGCCGUGGGCGCUGGAGAACUGAGGGGGGCUGCUCCUAGUACGAGAGGACCGGAGUGGACGCAUCACUGGUGUUCGGGUUGUCAUGCCAAUGGCACUGCCCGGUAGCUAAAUGCGGAAGAGAUAAGUGCUGAAAGCAUCUAAGCACGAAACUUGCCCCGA
rnacentral:rRNA from 1 species